rnacentral:rRNA from 1 species
CCCUUAGAUGUUCUGGGCUGCACGCGUGCUACACUGAUUACUUCAACAAGUGUUUUAACUGGAGAGUUCGCGUAAUCCUGAAAUGUUAUCGUGAUGGGAGUAGAGUAUUGUAUUUGUUAAUCUUUAACGAGGACUUCCUAGUAAGUGUAGGUUUAUUUGUUUUUUUUUUUACGUCCCUGCCCUUUGUACACACCGCCCGUCGCUCCUACCGAUUGAAUGCUCAGGUGAGCCAUUCGGACUUUCAUCAUGCUGGUUUCCAGUUUUGAUGAAGGAAAGUCUUGCGAACCUUAUCAUUUAGAGGAAGGAGAAGUCGUAACA